rnacentral:lncRNA from 1 species
GUAUUUGCGUUUGGGGUUAUACUUCUCAGUUUGAUAUCAAAGAGGGUUUACACAGACGAAGACAGUGAAGCUGGUGCACCGUUUGUUUUUGAAUGGGCCUUCACGGAAUACGAAGAAGCCCUCGAAUCGAAAAGUGACGUGAAAGAAACCGAGUUUUCACUUGUCCACAAAAGUCUAGCUGCUGAAGAUGAUUUUUGUACAGUUGAUGGGCAUAAGAUAACUACGCUAGCGCUCGAGUGUGUAAAUCGAGAUGAAGAUGAACGGCCCACAAUGAAGCAAGUCGUGAAAUCUCUCCUCAAACUUGAAAUCGUUAAGCAAAAUGCCGACUUCAUUGGUGUGAACAAGGUGCUGAAUUCCUUUGAAAAUGGCAUCUAAUGUAUUGAUGUUCAUUUGGUGUUUCUUAUAAAUUAAUGAUGAAUGAAUGAUUGAACGAAGCUAUCUAUUGUAAAAUAAAUAAUGCCUUGGUGUUUAUUUUUUAUUUGAUAAGUUUUAUAUUAUUUAUUUUGACUUUCUUAUUUUUUUUCAUCUACGAAAGUAAAAAAUGAAAUCAUGUAAAAUAAAAAAUACAGUAGUUAUAGGGCUUUAACUUAUGGGGUAAAUUACAACCACCCUUGAGGUAUGGUUAAUUUACGGAAAAACCUCUCUUAUUUGGAUAAUUACAUCUACCCUUCAACUAUAAUUUUUUCUUACACCUCCACCCUUAUGGUGUCAAAUUCAAGAUAAUCAUCUAGAUUUUGUGGAAUGUACUCUAGUUUGUACUUAUUUUGUGUAAAAAUACAGUUUCUGAUGCACCACAAUCUGAUAUAUAUACGAGCCAAAAAACACAUAUUAUGAUCAUGUUGCUUCAAAAUGUGGAAUUCAAAUGGGAUAAAACGGAUACAAAAGUGAUAAUAUUCCACAUAAUUUUGAAGAUUCCACUAAAUUUGAAACCGUAAGGGUGGACGCAUAAGAAGAUUUAUAGUUAAGGGGGUUGGUUGUAAUUAACCAAACAGGAGGGGAGAUUUUAUAAUUUGACCACACCUCGGGGGUGGUUGUAAUUUACCCUUAACUUAUGCAAUUUUGUAGCUAUUAAUGGUAUUAGUUGGGGUACACGUUCAAUUACAGAAACGUGUGAUUAUUCACGAAAACUAUGUAAAUUAGAAUUUUUUUUUUUUUUACGAAAGAAAAUACAUGUAUGCAAUUUUAUUUGAGAGUGAUAAAGACCACAUGGUAGACUAAAUAGAAAUUUUAUUUAGUAUUUUCAAAGUUGUAAACUUAAAAGAAAAUUACAAGAAAAUUAAAAAAAUACUAACUAAAUUUCAUUUAGUCAUUUAGUAAAUAAUUUGUGACUUGUAAAUUGUCUUUUUACCUUUUAGAAAUUUGUCCUCCAGUGCUUAGUUGAUUUUCAUAAAUAAUUACAGAAGUAAAUUGACAUAGUUACAAUUUAAGGAAUCGGGGAAACAACUUUGAAAAUACAAAAUAAAUUUUUAUUUAGUCCUUUGCAGUAGACAAGUUUUAAAAAGUCAUAGACCCCGUUAGACUAGACACGGCCAUGGGCCGGUUUUGGCCCCGGAACCGGCCCGUUGACGACCCGGCCUAACCUGUUGACCGGUGAACCGGCCCGGGACCCGUGAACCGGUCCGUCGUCCCCGGAAUGGGCCCGGUUCUAUGAAAUGGUGAACCGUGAACCGUCGGGUCGGCCCGGUGGUUCACCCGGAUUUAAAAAAAAAAAAAAAAUUCAAAAAAAUUCAAAAAAGAAAAAACAAAUAACGGCUAGUGAACCGGCCGUUAUUUGUUUUUUUUGGAAUUUUUUCCCCCCCAAUUUUUCCUAUAAAUACCCUCAGACCCCAAUUUUUCCUAUAAUUUACUUAUUCAUCAAAUAUUUCAAAAAACAUAGAAAAACAAAAAUUCUAAUUUUCCGGGCCGACCCGGAACCGGCCCGGAUAGGCCCGGAACCGGCCCGAACCGGUGGGCCGACCCGGGCCGUCGAACCGUGCAUAUUACGGGCCGGUUCCAGUUCCGGAAAAAGUGAACCAUGAACCGGCCCGGAACCGGCCCGUGGCCGUGUCUACGUUAGGCUGAACUUAUUUAGAACAUUUUAUAUGCUCUUACAUUUGAUAAAAUGUUUUAGGAGUUCAUAAGUUGUUAGCAAACAACUUAGGUCACUCUAAAUUUGUAUAUGACCCCAACUAAGUGUAAUUAGGUGCUCCAGGUUGUUUUUUAAAACUAGGGGUGUGAAUGAGCCGAGCUCGCCUCUUUUGGCACGCUCGAGCUCGAGCUCGAGCCCAAGCUCAUUUUUUUUUUUGUUUUUUUUUUCUUAUUUUAUUAUUAUUAAAAAUUAUUUUUAAAAAAAUUAAAAAAUAAACAAUAAAUUGUAAUUAUAUUUAUUUUUUAAUAUUUUUAUUUAUUUCUAUAAUAUUUUAAAUUAUUAUACAUUAUUUAAAUAAAAAUAAUAUUCAAAAAAAUAAUAAAUAAGGCUCGUUAGCCGGCUCGUGAGCUCGUGAUUCUCACAUACUUUUACUUUUCUCCGGAGACAACUCCAUCCUUUUUUCUUACCUGAAUGAUCAUAAACCAAUGCAUGACAAAAAUGAUUAUUCCGAUUUUUUCAAAAUGUAACAAAAAAUUUCGAUAAUAAGCCAUCUAAUAUUUUGUACUAUAAAAAAUUAAACUCAAAUAAUUUGUACUAUUAUCAUAAAACCGCGAUUCUUUCAAAAUUACUCAAUUUCUCUUCUAGAUCUUCACAUGCAAGGAAUUAUCUAGCUAAUUAUUCUCAACAAAAUCUUAACAAGUAUAAAUAAAAUUAGAACUUGAAAUAAUAAAUUGCACGUAAAUUAAACAUGUUGACUUUGUUGUGCAUGUUUUUGGACAGGAACCCCAUCACCUGGAAAACAGAUAUUUUUAGUUUGGAACCAUCCUACUCCAGAUGAUUACCGAAUGUAAUACAAUUAGAGAAGUUAUUCGAAGAUCAACUUCAGAAGGGAAGUACUGGCAAACACAAGAAGAAAGAAAAAAACACUACAAAUUCGUCAAUUACUUCUCACAUCUCACUUGAAGUGACAUCUCUUUUGGAAAAAAAAGAAUGUGUUGUUAACAAAUCAUUAUUGCGAACAGGAUGCGACGAGGGUGAUGAGCAUGAGAUUAGCAAUCUGGGUAAAACUUGCACAAGUAACCGUUCCGAAAACCGUCCAACAAUCGAUGAGAUUAUUUCAAUACUCGAGCGAAUGAGAGAGAAGAAGCCGAUGAGCAAGAGCAAGAUGAAACAAGCAAUGUGGUGAUUUUCUCUCGAGUAUUAGCAAUUGAAGACUUGGUGUAUUUAAUUUGUGGAGGCUGCAUAUGUGUGAUGAUGGCAAUUUGGAGAUUUGUUGCACUCUUAUUGUUUUGCAAGGCAAAUUACGGUCACCUCUUUGAGGUAUGGUCAAAUUACGAAAAAACCCCUUUGUUUAGGUAAUUGCAGUCACCUCCUCCUUUUAAAUAUUUUUACCUAAAAUUUAUGUAUUUUGGUUAUUUAUCAAACCAAAUCGUAUAUUCAGUUCGGUAAACAUUAGACACGGCCACGGGCCGGUUCCGGGCCGGUUCAUACCGGUUCAUGAUUCAGUUUUUCCGGAACCGGAACCGGCCCGUAAUAUGCACGGUUCGAUGGGCCGGGUCGACCCGCCGGUUCGGGCCGGUUCCGGGCCUAUCCGGGCCGGUUCCGGGUCGGCCCGGAAAAUUUGAAAUUUUUAUUUUAUUUUUUCUUACUUUUUUUUUUUGAAAUAUUUGAUGAAUAAGUAAAUUAUAGGAAAAAUUGGGAUGUGAAGGUAUUUAUAGGAAAAAAGGGGGGGGGGGGGGGGGAAUUCAAAAAAAAGCAAAUAACGGCCAGUUCGGGCCGGUUCACUAGCCGUUAUUUGCUUUUUUUUUUAAUUUUUUUGAUUUUUUUUUUUAAAUCCGGGUGAACCGCCGGGCCGGCCCAGCGGUUCACGGUUCACCAUUUCAUAGAACCGGGCCCGUCCCGGGGACGACGGGCCGGUUCACGGGUCCCGGGCCGGUUCACCGGUCAACGGGUUGGGCCGGGUCGUCAACGGGCCGGUUCCGGGCCCAAAACCGGCCCAUGGCCGUGUCUAGGUAAACAUUAUGAAAUGUUGGCGUACCGAAAUUUCGGUUCGGUGUUACUGAUUUAACAUCCCUAAAUUUACAUCUAGAGGGGUAUUCUCGGUUAGGUGUUACCGAUUUAUGUACCAAUACAUGAAUUAUGAACAGGAACAUGAGACCAAAGCAAAAGUGACAUAUACAGCUUUAGCGUAAUUCUCGUGCAGAUGGUUAUGAAGUGUAACGAUUUUGGAGAUGUAGACCUCAAUGCAACUAUAGAUGAGCUAAUGAAAUCUAUGGGUGGGAAAAAAGGAAAAAACAAAAAGAAGGAAAAGAAUACUUCAAACAAGCCAAACUACCAUAUAGUUUGCAAUCUGGAAUCAGUACUCUCGGGAUAGCUUGCACGUAAACCAACGUCCACAAAUCGACGCGAUCAUAUCCACACUUGAGGACUAGAUGAAAAACAACGGAAUGCUGAAACACUUGUCAAAGUUGACGACAUAGGUCGCACAAGUGGGAUCUUUUGAUGACUAUUAAUUGUGCUUUCGUUUUGGUUUUUUGUUUUUUGUUUUUUUUACUUUUUCUCUAGUUUUCUACUGUUGUGUUUUCUUUGUUUCGGGCACUAAACUAUGGACCUGAUGUACUUGAUUUUCAUUCCUCGAACAAUUAUGUCGGAAUCUCGAACAUUAUGUCUGAGUGGACUAUUUCUAGUUUUCUUCUGUUUUGAUUUUGAGCUUCAUCUUUGUCUUAGUUUCAAGAAAGACGAAAAAUUGAAUAAUCAUAAGGCAUAACUCACUCCUUGAGCAUCGGCUUCGAAUUAGUGGGCCAACAAAACAAGCAAACCACAAAAAGGGUCUACAGUCAAAAGAAAAAAAGGAUUUUUAUGUCACCAUAGUUAUCUGUACAAUUUAUUUUCAAGCAACUAUCUUGAAUAUAGAGUAUGCAUCAGACUGCAGCACUAAAAGAUACUUAGGAGAAGGAGAAGAAAGUAUGACCAAGCAAAAAGCACUACAUUACAAAAUUGGCCUUCAUUAAUAAUCUAUCAAGAUCAAUCUGAGUCUAUCAACUGAGGCUCGUUUGGUUGUUGGGGAAUUAACUCUUAUCAACUAAAUAGGUGAAAUUUGUUUGAUAUUUGGUAUUUCCAAUAACUUGUUGGUCGGCUUGUAAAUAUUAUGUUAUCAUGAUUUAUCUUGCCUCAUAAGCAUGUUUUUUUGUUGGGUUUUUCAAAGUCUAAUAAACCGAUUUUAUUACAUUAUUUAGUCUUAUCUUGACAAGUCAUAUCUUAUCAACCAAACGAGGCCCAAGAGUGCACGUCUAAUCACACGAUGUUGUGACACAAACGGAAUAUGAAUGAUUUUUUAUUACAUUUCGUACAUGACAUUGAUUAAUAUAAUUGUGACAUAUGUAUUCGUGAUAUAUAGGUCAAAUGAAUCACUUCAUUAAGCUUUUAGAACAGAGGUCACUCAACAAGUGGAAAGUGUUUAAUCCUACUACUAACUCAGUUUACGUUAACCAUGACUAACUAAAUAAUUGGAAUAUUUGCUAAACCCAAUAAUUUUUAAUUCGGGUCGAUCCGUAAAUAUUAUGUUAUCAUGUCUUUUUUGUUGAACAUCUCAGGGUCCCAUGAAAUAAUUGAGUUUUAAUUAAAUUAUUUAAUUUUAUCUUGAUUAAUCUAUCUUGACAACAAAACAAUGCCCAAAUGGCUCAAAUGAAUAACCUUUUCAGUUUUCUGUUAAUUAAAUAAUAAAAGAUAUGUGAUGAUGCUUAGUUGGUUAUAAAGCAAGCAUUAACCAAUUCAUGAGCAUCUUAUUUUCGAUUUUGCACCUAUAAAAAAUAAAAUCCACCAAUGAAACGAUAAAUAUAAAUUAAUGGAAACAAAAAUCCACUUAAAAGUAAGUAUAUUGAGUUUAAUUUAUAUACUCAACGCUAUUUUUUGAGCGAGUGCUUUUGUUCAAUAACAUACGAACGGAGCUACAUGCAUUCCGUAGUUCAACAUUAGACCAUCAAAUAACUUUCGCCAAUAAGUUUUGACCCAAAACAUCAUUCGAAAGUGCAAAAAGCAAAGUGAAAGUAAGACGACAGCCCUUACUUAUAUUGUUUUAGAGAAAAAAAAAAACAAAAUGAAGGAAAUUAAUUAGCUAUGUUGUGAGAUACCUUAAGAAUGUUGGAACUUGGAAUUAAAGUCUACAUAAUUUUAUAAUUCAUUUAUUUAGGGGUUAAAUACAAAAAUACCUCUGUGCUAUGAACUUUGUAUCAUAUACCUCCAUGUACUACAUAUAAAUAUAAAAAACCUCAUACUCUUACAUUUUUUUUCCAAAAUCUGACUAAAGUACCCUUGCUAAAGCCUAUAAAUAUAAGGGUUUGUUUGAGCCAUUUUCCACUAUAUUUUUUAACAUUUUCAUUUAAUUUUACUUCGAAAAUUUUGAUAUUUUUAUUUUUUUCUUCAAAACAUCUAAUUGCUAAUUACAUUUUUUUUUAAUUUUCUGAAUAAAACCUUUUAUUUUUGUCAUUUUGAAUUUCUUCAUGUUUUUUAAAAUGUCUUCCGGUAGUUCAAACAUUCUAAGAUUACAAACAUCUUUGGAUGUGCACAAAGUUUUAGGUGCACUUGCAUCAUAUUUUGAGGAGAAAAACCGUUCUCCGUGUUUUAUUUAUUUUCUCUCUUUACUCUUAAAUUCCAGUAAAGAUUAUGAGAUAUUUUCUCGGUCUUAUCUUGGAUUUGAAAAUUUUGACUUGUGAUCAGCGGCGAGCCGGCGAUGGAUAUCAAAAUUAUAUAAAAUGUCUAAAUUGGUAAAUUUGGGCUCAAAUUAAUGUUUAAAUGAUGAAUUGGGUAAUUUUUACAGAAAAGGUAUUUUGCUUUUGUUAUAUUAAAUUUCGGAGGGUGAGUUUAUUGAUAAAAUAGAUUUUGGGUUGGACGUUUUUGCAAACAAGUUCCCUCUUAGACCAUCUACAACAAACCGUUCAAAAUUAAUUAUUUAUAUCAAUAAUAUGAAAAAUGAACAUUGUUUUAAGACACUACUUUUAACAUUUGCUCUAACAACAUUUGUUGUAUUGUACAUAUAUAUUUUUAAAACACUACUUUUAACAUUCACUCGGACAAUAUUGUUUAUAUUAUACAUCUAUAUUUUAUUAUUGCUUUAAAUUUGUAAUUUGAGUCUAAAUUUAAAACUCAUAUUUUUACAAUUAUAAUCCCACAAACAUAUUAUAAUAUAUCUAUUAUCUAGUGUAAAAACAAAACAAAAAUUAUUUUUUAAAAUUUAUUGCUGUUUCAGAAAAAGGGAUAUUAUAUGACUAAAUAUAAGUAAUAUAAUAAUAAGUUUAAAUUGUAUAUAAUUUAGAGUUUAUAUAUAAAAGGCCCUCUUUGGAGAUGCUCUUAUAAUUAAGGGCAAAUUACGACCACCCCUGAGUUAUGAUCGAAUUACAAAACCCCCUUCAUGUUUGAGUAAUUACAGUCACCCCCCUCAACUGUGUAUUAUCUCACACCGACCCCUGUAGAGAUAAAUUUAUGGAUGUUAAUUCGGUAAAAUCAAAUGGAAAUUUCGGUUCGCCAACAUGUCAUACUGUUUAUCGAACUAAAUAUACGAUUAAGUUCGGUAAAUAACCAAAUUACAUAAAUUUUAUGUAAAAAUAUUUAAAAGGAGGGGGUGGUUGUAAUUACCCAAACAUGAGGGGUCUUUUCGUAAUUUGAUCAUACAUCAUGGGGUGGCAGUAAUUUGCCCUAUAAUUAAUAAUAAAAGUAAAUCUUGUUAAUAUAAUUAUCUUCAAAACAUAAUUAAUAUCACAGAAUUAUAUUUUAUGGUUAAAUACACUUUGCACCCCUAAAGUUUAGCCUACGUAAAACUUACUCCCUUAAAGUAUCAUUUGUAAUACUUACCUCCCUCAACAUCAAUUAUUUUAUAUUUUAAAAUUAAUAGAUAAUAAACAUAACAAUCUAAUAAUUAUUGGAUCAUAUAAAUUGAAAAAUAACUAAAAUUAAAUUAUUGGAAAAAGGAUAAAAAGUAAUAUAUAUUGUAUAAUAAUGAAUGAAAAUAUAUCUUAAGAAAUUAAUUUUCUUAAUGAACUAAAAUAAAUUUAAAUACUUAAGAUUACUAUUAUGUAUGUAUUGAUUUCUUAAAAUUUAUCGCUAUGUAUAUAUUCGAUUAAUUGGUCCAAUAAUAAUUAGAUGUUAAAGGAAAAAGAUCUAGGGUUCGAGUUCCCCCUCCCCUACUUCCCCUUGUAAUGACUUGAAGUACUCAAAAAAAAAAACAAAAAAAAAAUAAUUAGAUGUUAUUUAUUAAAUAUAUACCCAACAAUACAAGAUAAUAUUGUUAAUUUUUUAAAUAUUGUAUUUUUAAACAGAUAUUUUUAGUUGUAUAAUUUAAUUAUUUUUAGGUUAUUAUUUUAAAUAAAAAAGGAUUUUUUUAAGAUAUUAGGAUUUAAAAUACAAACUGAAUUGAGCUUGAGGGAUUAAGUGUUAUAAAUAAUAUUUUAUGAGGUAAGUGUUACAGAUGGUCUAUAGAUUAGAGUUGUAAACUGUAUUUAACCCAAUAUUUUAUUAGUAAACUUCCAUAAAGUACAACUUGUAAUAUUUUAAUAAUUUAUUGGUUGUCUAAAUUCUAACUUUGAUUUCUCAAAUUUGGCAAACCAUAAAGUUAUAAUUAAUUAAACAGUAGGUAUAAUUUACAUAUUUUUUGUUGUUAGGAGCAUGAAAUUUUGGAGUUAGUUAUUUAAAUUGUGUAUCAUUUAGAAAUGAGAAGCCCUCUUGGAGAUGCUCUUAUGGACUUAUUUGCAAUUAACCUUUUCUUAAUUUCUUUUAUUGAGUUGAACAUAUUUUUCGAGUUACCUUAUUAAACAAACGAUAAAAGUUGGGGUAAAAAUUGGAACAAAUUUUGAAAUUCCGCUUAUUCAAAUUCAGACUUCUAAAUUUUAGUACUUAUUUUUUUGUUAUUUCGAUUUCUAAAAUUUUGACCCCUAUUUAUUUUAAAAAAGAAAAACUGCAAUUGGGAUAUAUAUACAUAAAAUGCUAUUCUUUUUUUUUCAAAUUUGGAUCCGAUUUAAUUUAUAAAUGUGCCUCAAAAACUCCAUUUUUUUUCAAAAAUAUAUUUAUAAUCUUAAACUUGUUAUAUAUUUGUAUUUUAAAAAUUCAUUCAGACUUUCACUCCCGCUGUUAAUCUUUUGUUUACCGUAUUGUAAUUGAUAAACUUGCAGGACCUAUCAAUUAAAAACAAAAAAAAAACAAAAAGAAAAAAGAGAAAGUUUUGAAUAAAUAAAUUAAUGGGUAAAUAGCACUUAACCCCCUUGUGGUUAGGACAUUUUGCACUUGACCCCUUUAUGGUAUGAAAUUAGGCACAUAAUCCCCUUGUGGUUUUGACAUUUUGCACAUGACCCCCUUAUGGUAUGAAAUUAGGCACAUAACCCCCAUGUGGUUUUGAAAUUUUGCACAUGACCCCCUUAUGGUAUGGAAUGAGCACACAACCACUUGAAUAGAAAACUGGAAAAGACUAAAUUACCCCUAUCAAGUCAAAAGUUCUUGUUUUAAUUUAAAAAUAAUUAGUCUAUAAAAUGAAAAGUUUAAUGUAUUUUUUUGUAAAAUGAGAAAUAUAAUAUAUUAAUGUAUUCUUGUUUCAGUUUUAAUGAUAUUUAAAUGAUUUUUAGGUGUUGGCCUAAAUUGGGAAGAGACUCUACACAUUUUGUCUCAGUUAGCUUGGUCCAUUAAAGCUAUAAUUGAACAAAAUUAUGUCGUCGGUGACAUUAAGCCGGACAAUAUACUAAUUGAUGAUGUAAGUAUUAAUUUUUUAUUCGUUUUAUGUAGACAAAUGGAUUUUUUAAAUAGUUUUCUUGUAUUGUAUAGAAUCACAAUGUAUACCUGUGUGAUUUUGGGUCAGCGGUGAAAGAUGGGAGACAUGGGCCAACCAUUAAUUAUCAAUAUGCAUCAAAAGAGGUCAUUAGAGGUAAAUCUAAAUUUAUGGCAUUAAUGCAUAUUUCUACAAUACAUAUACAAGGGGAUUUAAUGCAAAAAAUAAUUUAUUUGUUUAAAUUUCAUAUUAUUUUCAGAAAAUUAAGCUGAACACAUUUAUUCAAUUACAAUAUCAAAAAUAAAAAUUUAAUAGGUGUGGUGAAUGUUUUUUAAAAAAAAAUCAAUUUUUAUAUGAUAUUAUUAAUGUAUGAAUUUUGAUUUUUUAAAUUAUAUAAUUAUUUUAUUAGAAUUAUUAGAUAUGUUUAUAAUUUAUUCUUGAUUAAUUAUAUGUGAAAAUAAUAUAAAUAAUUUGAGAAUUCGUUCCAACUUCAAUCUCGAGUAUUAUUUUCUUAGUUUUCAUAUUUUAAAUUAAUAGAAAUAUUCGACUUAAUUUAAGAAAAUAAUAUGAAUUUUAAAUGAAUAAAUUAAUUUGCAUAGACCCAAUUUGCAAAAUUAUGCACCAAAUCCUCCUAUGUUACAAAAAAAUUACAUAAAACCCCCUCUAUAGUUAACGGCGUUAACUUUUAACGGAAAAGGGGAUUUCGUGCAAAGUAUAAUAAAACACAAGGGGGUUUUACGCAAGAAAAAAAAAACACGGGGGAUUUGGCACAGGUUUUCCUUAACACAAGGGGGGGGGGGGGGGGUUAUGCUGUUUACCCGAAAAAUCAUAAAAUAACUAUUGAAGUUCAUACACUCUUCUUACUCUUAAAGAGUAUGUGAUUUUGUAAUUGUUUUGCAUUCGUUAAUUCCAACGGCUCUUUUUCAUCCGCUUCUAUUUUAUUUAUUCUUUAUUCUAUGUACUUAAAAUUUGAAAUUCAAAUUGCAAUUUUCACUUGCUGGACAAAUUGAUAUGUUUAAACGUGACCAAAAUUCCCAAGCCAUCUUUCAGGAGAUGAAGUUUAUUGAAUGAUCAGGCAUGCUUGAAGAAUGUGGCCGAUUCAUGCUUGAGAAGAUUCAGGUACGAAAAUUAGUAUAUGAGUUUUAGAUUGUGAGUUGGGCCGAUUUCCGGCGUUGACUUUGGUGGAGUUGGCGUUAAUAGAGGUGGUUUGGUUGUUAAAUUUCUAACACUGUGCACGAUAAACCGAAUCUAUGACAUCUUUUUAAGCGAACUUCGGACGACGCAACCUGAAGUUUGUAUUUGGAACAAGGUUAGGAGUUGUGUGUGUUGUACGUAUGGUUGUGUUUUGCCUGGCUGGUUGUGAUGGUUCUCCCACAACAAAGGUGUUGACAUCAUUUUCAUGUUUGGAAGAGGCCCAUAGAGCUCGAAGCUCCGUGAGGACAACUUGGAGGGUGUUAUGUAUUAGACGAAAUUGGACUAGUGUCGAACUAGAAUUUCUCUAACCUCCGCACGAAAUUGAGCAUCUGAUUUCGUACGUGCCUUCAUGGAACGUAACGGCGUUUCUGAUACCAUUGUUACGUGGUAAUUUAAAUAGAAUAAAUAAUUUAAGCAAGAAGAUGAUUUGAAGAUAAGAAAUAAGAAUUGUAGAAGAAUAAAUAGAGGGAUUGAGAAGAUUAAUUGAUUACGUAAAAUGAUUAUCCAUUUUCAAUUAUGUAAUGACUAAUUAAAAUUAAAUCACCCACUAACUCACUAAUUUAAUUAACUUCUUUCACUAACUAAAAAUCAUUAAAUAUAGGGUAAAUUACAAACACCCCCCUGAGGUAUGGUCAAAUUACAAAAAUCCCCCUCUUGUUUGGAUAAUUACAUCUACCCCUCAAAUAUGAUUUUUUCUUACACCUCCACCCUUAUUGUGCCAACUUCAACAUAAUCAUCUAGAUUCCGUGGAAUGUGCUCUAAUUUGUACUCUUUUUGCGUCCAAAUACAGUUUCCGAUGCACCACAAACUGAUAUAUACAAGCUAAAAAUCACAUAUUAUGAUCAUCUUACUCCAUAAUGUAGAGUUUGAAUGGGAUAAACGGGUACACAAGUAGAUACCUCUGGCCCUAGUAUCUCAAGCAGCAGCAGCUGCACUGCGUCUGAGGAAAUUUUAGAAAAAAUCUCUCCCCNNNNNNNNNNNNNNNNNNNNNNNNNNNNNNNNNNNNNNNNNNNNNNNNNNNNNNNNNNNNNNNNNNNNNNNNNNNNNNNNNNNNNNNNNNNNNNNNNNNNAUAUAUAUAUAUAUAUAUAUAUAUAUAUAUAUAUAUAUAUAUUUCUCAAUAUUAUUUAUAUUUUUUUUAUUAUAUAUUUUUUUUAAAAAUAUAAAAAAAUAUAUAUAUAUAUAUAUAUUUUUUUUUUUUUUUUUUUUUUUUUUAUAUAUAUAUAUAUAUAUAUAUAUAUAUAUAUAUAUAUAUAUAUAUAUAUAUAUAUAUAUAUAUAUAUAUAUAUAUAUAUAUAUAUAUAUAUAUAUAUAUAUAUAUAUAUAUAUAUAUAUAUAUAUAUAUAUAUAUAUAUAUAUAUAUGAAAUAUUAAUAUUUAAACUAAAAUUAAUUAAAAAAAAUUAAAAAAAAAUCAAAAUUUCAAAUAUUUUUAAUAAAAUUUUGAUAAUUCGGUUAUACAUCGAACCGAACGAUAAACAAUAUGAAAUUUUGGCGUACGGACAAUUUCGGUACGAUUUAACAAUAUGAAAUUUUGGCGUACGGACAAUUUCGGUACGAUUUAACUGAAUGGACACCACUAAAUUUACCAAGUAGAGGAAUUUUUUCGUAAGACAAUACAUAGUUUAGGAGUGACUGUAAUUACUCAAACAAGAUUAUUUUUAUUUUUCUUCAUAAUUUGAUUUUAUCUCAGGGGAUUGUUGUAAUUUGCACUUUAUUAUAUUCCAAGGUUGAAAAUUGCUUAAAUGAUUUAAGGGGCACAAAAUGCGAAAAGUCAAUAUUUCAAGGGUGCAAAAGUCAAUAUAUAUAACUCGCCCUUUGUUUGUGAGUAAGAAUCAUAAAUUAAAGCUGUUUGUUGCAACAAUUUAUUUAGAAAUUAUUUGUUGAAAACUGAUAAGCGAUGAGUUCUAGCUUAAAAACUCAACUUCAAAACCGGGCGAUAGAGUUGAAGCCAUGUUCGUCCAAAAAAGCUCCUAUAGGUAUAAUAAUUAUUUUUUCUUUUUCCUUGUGUGAUUUUAACGAAUUUUGUUGCCUUAUGAAAACUAAGGCUCUGUUUGUUUGCACGAUUUUUGAGUUUUUAUUUUAUUUCGUUGUGUUUUAAUGAUUACAUAUGUGUUCCUGUAAGAUAUGCCCUACUGAAAAAUUAAACCUUUUUAAUGAAUAAAUAUUUGAACAACUUUCAACAUGAAUUCCUUUGGAAAUUUUGUGUUAUGCAGAAGCCUAAUUUUUUUGUUACUUAAUUUUGUUUCGACUUAAUACUUUUCGUGCAUUUAAUAUUCUUAAUCAUUAAGUCGAAACGAAAGUGUACAAAAAAUUCCCGGGAUUUUCGCUUGUGUAUUUUUUAUGUAAUGAAUUCGUUAGACGUUGUACUAUUUGCUUAUUGGUUUUUGUCGAUAUGGGAAAUAGAAGAUUUGAACAGAGUGCUAUGAAAACAUGAAUUAAUGCGCAAGGCGCAAAAAAGGCAAUAGAUGUUUUUAUAGCACGAGGCGCUCGUCCGAGCGGAUCGAGGCUGACAAAAAAAAAUUAUUUGCUAUAUAUAUCAGCAAUAUUGUUCUUGUACGUUUCUUGUUUGACCGACGUAUAUCUCUCGAAUAUAACAUGCUGCCGUUUCUAUGCUGUAUUAUAGUGUUAUUUUAGUCCACCAAAGUUGCACGUGUUAACUAUCUCCACCUUUUUUACUGGUAUGUUUGCUAGAACAGGAGCCAGGUAGAGUUAUGAAACUGUCGUACGAGAAGAUGGUCCUCUUAACCGACAAUUUUUCCGAGAGCAACUGCAUCGGAAAUUUCCAAUUCGGCAAACUUUAUUAUGCAAAGAUAGUGUACCCUGGAAUAACAGCAUAUUUUAUGGUGAAAAAAUGGGAAGUCCCGGAAAAUUGUGAUUACGAUCCAGGAGAUAACGAUCUUCGACUAAUGGUAUUUCGUUUUGCAGUGGCAUUUUCGUAAAUACUUCUUUGCCUACAUGUGACAUUUAUUGUAUUGUAUAUUUGCUUGUGCAGGACGAAAUGAUUUUACUUCGCCAUGAAAUGUUUAUUAACCAUCCAGGCAUGUUAAAGCUGUACGGAUUCUGCUUCGAUCGAGGCCUUAUUGGUGCUGUUUACGAGUUCAAGCCGUUUGACUCGCUUUUUAACCUCAUUCCUAAAGGUAUUGUAUUUUUCAUUAAUCUCGAAAGCUAUAAGAGAACCUAAUUGUUAGUUUGAAUUCUCGAAUAAUUUUGUGAAAACUUCAAUUUUUGAUAUUCCGUUUAUUGGGUCAAUCCAUAUCAAGUUUCAAACAUUUAAAAAGAAAAUACGGGGAAAAAAAAAAACCGAAAAAUGUGUUUGUUAGAUGGUUUCACUUGGCUGCAAAGAAUCAAAGCUGCCCUUGGAUUGGCUUCCGUUGUCAGAUAUCUGCAUCUCGGAAAGUCUUCUUAUUACCAACCUUUCGUACUUCACAAUCUUGAUGCUGCACACGUAGUUCUCGAUGAGGUGUGUUUUAUAUAUAUAUAUUUAUAUAUAUCAAAUCAAUUAUUAUACUUGUAUGAAGAAAUUAGUAACCAACCACUUAUGCUGUCAUGCAGGACUAUAAUCCAAAGCUGUGCGACUUUGGUUGUACGAGCGGUGGAAUUUUCCCGAAUAAGAAAACAUAUUCAGGUCAUAAUUCCCUUAGUUGCUAUGGGUGCAUCGAUAUUGCACUAUGCAGUACAGGUAAUCGUUGAAGUUCGAAUUAAGUUAUUCUAAUUUGAUAGAUUUUCAUCCGGUUGUUUCUUCUCGAUCGGUCUUAUUUAUAAAAUUAUUAGUCUCACGAUGAUUUCGUCACAGGUGACUGGUCGAUCAAACAAGACGUAUUUGCGUUUGGGGUUAUACUUCUCAGUUUGAUAUCAAAGAGGGUUUACACAGACGAAGACGAAGACAGUGAAGCUGGUGCACCGUUUGUUUUUGAAUGGGCCUUUACGGAAUACGAAGAAGCCCUAGAAUCGAAAAGUGACGUGAAAGAAACCGAGUUUUCACUUGUCCACAAAAGUCUAGCAGAUGAAGAUGAUUUUUGUAGAGAUGAUGGGCAUAAGAUUACUAUGCUAGCGCUCGAGUGCGUAAAUGGAGACGAAAAUCAACGGCCCAUGAUGAAGCAAGUCGUCAAAUCUCUCCUCAAACUUGAA